CGGUGUCUCGGAGCCCAAGCCGAGCUCACAGUCUCUUCCACCAUCGCAUCAACCCGCGUUCCCCUAAUUCGCUGUAACCUCUUGCUGCCGCUGGCUAUAGCUAUGGCUAUGGCGCUUUAAUGAACACCCCGACGUCGUCACCAGCAGUGUACAUGACCCCCCCCUGUAUAACACUACGAUUUUUCUUAAUGCUGGUUUGCGGUUCCAACGGUGUGCCACACAAACCCCGGACCAUUCUCAUCACGGAAAUCGCUGCGAUCUGUUGCAGCGGAAGUUAGCAACACUGAGCAUCAUCCAAGAAUAGGUGGAGGAACGGUCUGCAAUGUAGAAGUAUAUACCCAGCUUCAAUGUCUUCACCUGUUCGCCGAGCUUCAUCUCUCUGUACAGGGUCUUGGCUGCCUGGAGGGGACGUCUUUGCGCAGGAGGUCCCCAAGCAGAGCCAUCAUGAUGUUAAAGACGGCGCCCGUGUUAUUUCUCGGACCUUGCGCAAUGAAAAUGAUCUUUUACGCUACCAACUUAAUGACAUCAUUGCCAGAGAAAAGAAUCAGAGAAUUGAGCUGCAAAGGCUGCGGGACCAUCGCGAUGUUGAGGUGGCGUCCCUUGUACAGGCUGCUACACAGCAUUUAAAAGGAGAGGUUGAGCAGAUGAAGUUCUUGCUACAAUCUACUUCUGCUCAACUUCUCCAAGCCCUAGCGGAGAAAGAGAAGGCUGUAAAUGACAGUCAUGACACGAUGCGUACUGUUGAGGAACUGAAACAUAAUGCAGAAGUUAAUGAGACCUGCAUCAUGGAGCAGCUACGAGGCUUGAAAGAGCUUUUAUCUAAAACGUCUGGUACAGUUACAGCUCUUGCCGACUCCGUUGAGGGCUUUCAGAGGCAUGUCCUUCCAACAUUUAAGCCUUCAGGAACCAACGUGACGAAGUUGACCCGGAAUCUACCGAGCAAACCGGGCGUCACCGAGCUGAUGACCUCUGAGUUGGAGAGGCUUGAAGCUGGAAUUACUUUGCUGCGGGUGAUUGUGGACGCCAAGAAUGAUACUCUUGUACUUAUUCGUGGAAAAUUGAAGCAAGAGAACGAGGACCUAAAAACAGAGCUUCAACUUGCACGUGAUCGGGAGACAAGAACAAGUAUUUCUGAUCGUAAACCAAAUAAUGCCACCGCGGUUGCCAACGAUGAUAUGGUUCACGAGAAAACUGUACUUCGUCAGGAGCUACAAUCUUUGCAGAACUUGUAUUGUGCGGAAGUGAAGCAAUUGAAGGCAAAGUUGAAGUAUCAGGAGGAAGAAGGAGUUGCAGAAAGUAAUCGAUUCUGCGAAAUUCAGCAUGAGUGUAAGGUGUUGCAAAGUAGAAUUGAGUCCCUUGAAGCUGCAAAGGACAUGCUGGAAGUCAACCUGAAGGAUGAAACUUCUGCGCGGUCUCAACUUGUUUCCCAAGUAUUCAACUUGCGGAAGGAGAAUGAGAAGUUAAAGACUGAAUUGGAGACUUUGAAGCUUAAUCAAAAGUUCCUGGUGAGACAGCCAAGAUCAGGUGGACGUAUUCCAGUUGAAAAGAUGGAUCUCAUGAACACAGUAAAUCAGUUGCUAUUAGAAAUGAACAAAUUAAAAAGUGACAAAGUGACUCUCGAGGAAGAGAUCAAGACAGUACGUCGAUGCCAAAUGCGGGAUCAAAUGACGCGCACUGUCACUGCCCGUGAUGUGGCUAUGGCUGCAAGUAAUAAGGUUGGAGACGGAGAAAUAGCAGGUAAAUUGGCAAGUACGCGACUCAAUCAGUUGGCUCUAGGGAUCACUUAUGGUCCCUGUUCCGCUUCACAACUAGCACUUACUGAUGGUGACCCAAAUCAAAAUGCCACUCUCAUGAAUGUUCAGAGCGACAGCAAUGCUAUGGAAGCUUCUGAGGAGACACGAGAGGUGAUUCUAGAAACAGGAUGCAAAGUGCAAAUAAACAAGGUGUCAUGGUAGGGACAAGCAGUAGUGUGGAUAAUAUUGAUGGAGAAAUUGGGAAAUACAUGGCAGGUGACUAGCACAUCAUUUUCAUUUGUUGACCUAUUUCAGUGCAACUCAUGAAGGGCACACCAAACAUUGUUGCAUUCAGUGACAUGUUUUGUUAUCCAUGAAUAGGAUAUUUAUUAAUGACUAUGGAAAUUUUGAUUAGAUGUAAAAAAUGUUUAUUUAUUUCUUAUUUUUGUAAUUUGAGCAUUCAAAAAUGUAGAUAUAUGGUGUAACUAAGGCUGAAAUAAUUUGGAUGAUAUCAUUCCAUACAAAGAAGCCAUUGCACUAACUGGUUGAUAGGAAUACAAAUAUGGUUAUUGC